rnacentral:rRNA from 1 species
UGCAGUCGNACGGUAAGGCCCUUCGGGGUACACGAGUGGCGAACGGGUGAGUAACACGUGGGUGAUCUGCCCUGCACUUUGGGAUAAGCCUGGGAAACUGGGUCUAAUACCGAAUAGGACCACGGGAUGCAUGUCCUGUGGUGGAAAGCUUUUGCGGUGUGGGAUGGGCCCGCGGCCUAUCAGCUUGUUGGUGGGGUGAUAGCCCACCAAGGCGACGACGGGUAGCCGGCCUGAGAGGGUGUCCGGCCACACUGGGACUGAGAUACGGCCCAGACUCCUACGGGAGGCAGCAGUGGGGAAUAUUGCACAAUGGGCGCAAGCCUGAUGCAGCGACGCCGCGUGGGGGAUGACGGCCUUCGGGUUGUAAACCUCUUUCACCAUCGACGAAGGUCCGGGGUUCUCGGAUUGACGGUAGGUGGAGAAGAAGCACCGGCCAACUACGUGCCAGCAGCCGCGGUAAUACGUAGGGUGCGAGCGUUGUCCGGAAUUACUGGGCGUAAAGAGCUCGUAGGUGGUUUGUCGCGUUGUUCGUGAAAUCUCACGGCUUAACUGUGAGCGUGCGGGCGAUACGGGCAGACUUGAGUACUGCAGGGGAGACUGGAAUUCCUGGUGUAGCGGUGGAAUGCGCAGAUAUCAGGAGGAACACCGGUGGCGAAGGCGGGUCUCUGGGCAGUAACUGACGCUGAGGAGCGAAAGCGUGGGGAGCGAACAGGAUUAGAUACCCUGGUAGUCCACGCCGUAAACGGUGGGUACUAGGUGUGGGUUUCCUUCCUUGGGAUCCGUGCCGUAGCUAACGCAUUAAGUACCCCGCCUGGGGAGUACGGCCGCAAGGCUAAAACUCAAAGAAAUUGACGGGGGCCCGCACAAGCGGCGGAGCAUGUGGAUUAAUUCNAUGCNACGCGAAGAACCUUACCUGGGUUUGACNUGCACAGGACGACGGCAGANAUGUCGUUUCCCUUNGUGGCCUGUGUGCNGNGNNGCAUGGCUGUCGUCAGCUCNUGUCNUGAGANGUGGGNUAAGUCCCNCAACNAGCGCANCCC